rnacentral:rRNA from 1 species
UACGUAGGGUGCAAGCGUUGUCCGGAAUUAUUGGGCGUAAAGAGCUCGUAGGCGGCUUGUCGCGUCAACUGUGAAAACCCGUGGCUCAACCAUGUGGUCUGCAGUCGAUACGGGCAGGCUAGAAUUCGGUAGGGGAGACUGGAAUUCCUGGUGUAGCGGUGAAAUGCGCAGAUAUCAGGAGGAACACCGGUGGCGAAGGCGGGUCUCUGGGCCGAUAUUGACGCUGAGGAGCGAAAGCGUGGGGAGCAAACAGG